UGUCAUAGCGAACGGUCACUUAGGCUUUUAUAUAGAUAGAUAGAUAUCUAACUUAGACAAUAACUAAUUUGUUAAGGUUCCAGGUUAGUACUAAGAGUCCUACCACUUAGAUGUAGCUAGUCCCUCCGCAGGUGUAGACUCCAGUGCAGGGAGGCCAGCCUCGGAGGCUGCAGCCAGUGGUAAUGGUUUUGGAGCUCCCAUUCUAGUGUCCUUUGUGUGAUACUAUGCUGGGUUUUGUUUGCUAAAACUUUUAAAACUUUUCAUUGUAACAUAAUUUUAGCUUUAUAAAGAGUUGCAAGAAUAAUGUAAACAAUUCCCAUAUAUACCAUGCACCCAGAUUCUCCAGAUAUUAAUAUCUUACCACAGUUGCUUAUUCUUUUCUCUCUCUUUUUUCCUGAGCCAUUGGAAAGUAAAUUGCAGAUAGGAUGGCCCUUGAGUGUUGCCUAAAAUAUAGGACAUUGUCUUACAUAACCACAAUACAAAGGUCAACAUCAGGAGAUGAACAUUGAUAUAAUUCUUUAACAAAUAUACUGACCUUACUCCCAUUUUGCCAGUUCUUUAUUAAUUUAUUUACAACAAAAGAAAAUCUCAGUUCGUGGGUUGUGCUACAUUGUCACACAACUUUUAUUUCCUUUAAUCUGGAACAGUUCUUUGGUCUUUUUUAAUUUUGUGAUAUUGACACAAUUAUAAUUUAGGUGUUUCUCUUUUAUUUGAAAUUGAACUUCAAGACUAGUUGUUUGAAGGAGACUGAAACAGAAAUAAGCGGUUGGUAUUUUGUAGGAGGACUGAGUAAGUGGUGGUUUGAAAGAGAGGGUUAAAAAACUGCCAGCAACCUUUACUGAAAAGCCAUUUAUAGUUAUUCAGCACUUUAGUCACACCUCCUGUCCAGAAACUGGCUGUGCCUCCCUGGAAGCUCAGCCUUGUUAUUUAUAAUCAGGGCGGGAAAGGCCCCUUUAUAACUGGCCGUAUCAGCUUCAGGCGUAAUUUAUUAUCAGGUACGAGAUGAUGUUGGAGAACGUUUCUAGGUGAUGCCCAGCGACCCGAGGGGAAAAUGUCAGCGUCCUUGCACACAGUUAUGUUUACUAAGCGGAGGCCGGCAUCUGUUUUAAAUGAUUUGUUUAUUUAGAUGUAAAUAUAA